GGUUAAGCGACUAAGCGUACACGGUGGAUGCCCUGGCAGUCAGAGGCGAUGAAGGACGUGCUAAUCUGCGAAAAGCGUCGGUAAGGUGAUAUGAACCGUUACAGCCGGCGAUGUCCGAAUGGGGAAACCCAGUGCAAUUCGUUGCACUAUCGUUUGAUGAAUACAUAGUCAAACGAGGCGAACCGGGGGAACUGAAACAUCUAAGUACCCCGAGGAAAAGAAAUCAACCGAGAUUCCCCCAGUAGCGGCGAGCGAACGGGGAGCAGCCCGGAGUCUGAAUCAGCUUGUGUGUUAGUGGAAGCGUCUGGAAAGUCGCAGGGUACAGGGUGAUACUCCCGUACACUAAAACAUACAGGUUGUGAACUCGAAGAGUAGGGCGGGACACGUGGUAUCCUGUCUGAAUAUGGGGGGACCAUCCUCCAAGGCUAAAUACUCCUGACUGACCGAUAGUGAACCAGUACCGUGAGGGAAAGGCGAAAAGAACCCCGGCGAGGGGAGUGAAAAAGAACCUGAAACCGUGUACGUACAAGCAGUAGGAGCCCACUUGUUGGGUGACUGCGUACCUUUUGUAUAAUGGGUCAGCGACUUAUAUUCUGUAGCAAGGUUAACCGUAUAGGGGAGCCGCAGGGAAACCGAGUCUUAACUGGGCGUUAAGUUGCAGGGUAUAGACCCGAAACCCGGUGAUCUAGCCAUGGGCAGGUUGAAGGUUGGGUAACACUAACUGGAGGACCGAACCGACUAAUGUUGAAAAAUUAGCGGAUGACUUGUGGCUGGGGGUGAAAGGCCAAUCAAACCGGGAGAUAGCUGGUUCUCCCCGAAAGCUAUUUAGGUAGCGCCUCGUGAACUCAUCUUCGGGGGUAGAGCACUGUUUCGGCUAGGGGGUCAUCCCGACUUACCAACCCGAUGCAAACUACGAAUACCGAAGAAUGUUAUCACGGGAGACACACGGCGGGUGCUAACGUCCGUCGUGAAGAGGGAAACAACCCAGACCGCCAGCUAAGGUCCCAAAGUCAUGGUUAAGUGGGAAACGAUGUGGGAAGGCCCAGACAGCCAGGAUGUUGGCUUAGAAGCAGCCAUCAUUUAAAGAAAGCGUAAUAGCUCACUGGUCGAGUCGGCCUGCGCGGAAGAUGUAACGGGGCUAAACCAUGCACCGAAGCUGCGGCAGCGACACUAUGUGUUGUUGGGUAGGGGAGCGUUCUGUAAGCCGUUGAAGGUGGCCUGUGAGGGUUGCUGGAGGUAUCAGAAGUGCGAAUGCUGACAUAAGUAACGAUAAUGCGGGUGAAAAACCCGCACGCCGGAAGACCAAGGGUUCCUGUCCAACGUUAAUCGGGGCAGGGUGAGUCGACCCCUAAGGCGAGGCCGAAAGGCGUAGUCGAUGGGAAACAGGUUAAUAUUCCUGUACUUGGUGUUACUGCGAAGGGGGGACGGAGAAGGCUAUGUUGGCCGGGCGACGGUUGUCCCGGUUUAAGCGUGUAGGUGUGUGUUCCAGGUAAAUCCGGUUCACUUUAACACUGAGGCGUGAUGACGAGGCACUACGGUGCUGAAGUGACAAAUGCCCUGCUUCCAGGAAAAGCCUCUAAGCAUCAGGUAACAUCAAAUCGUACCCCAAACCGACACAGGUGGUCAGGUAGAGAAUACCAAGGCGCUUGAGAGAACUCGGGUGAAGGAACUAGGCAAAAUGGUGCCGUAACUUCGGGAGAAGGCACGCUGAUAUGUAGGUGAAGUGGUUUACCCAUGGAGCUGAAAUCAGUCGAAGAUACCAGCUGGCUGCAACUGUUUAUUAAAAACACAGCACUGUGCAAACACGAAAGUGGACGUAUACGGUGUGACGCCUGCCCGGUGCCGGAAGGUUAAUUGAUGGGGUUAUCCGUAAGGAGAAGCUCUUGAUCGAAGCCCCGGUAAACGGCGGCCGUAACUAUAACGGUCCUAAGGUAGCGAAAUUCCUUGUCGGGUAAGUUCCGACCUGCACGAAUGGCGUAAUGAUGGCCAGGCUGUCUCCACCCGAGACUCAGUGAAAUUGAACUCGCUGUGAAGAUGCAGUGUACCCGCGGCAAGACGGAAAGACCCCGUGAACCUUUACUAUAGCUUGACACUGAACACUGGUCCUUGAUGUGUAGGAUAGGUGGGAGGCUUUGAAGCGUGGACGCCAGUCUGCGUGGAGCCAUCCUUGAAAUACCACCCUUUAAUGGCUGGUGUUCUAACGUGGGCCCGUAAUCCGGGUUGCGGACAGUGUCUGGUGGGUAGUUUGACUGGGGCGGUCUCCUCCUAAAGAGUAACGGAGGAGCACGAAGGUCAGCUAAUCCUGGUCGGACAUCAGGAGGUUAGUGCAAUGGCAUAAGCUGGCUUGACUGCGAGCGUGACGGCGCGAGCAGGUGCGAAAGCAGGUCAUAGUGAUCCGGUGGUUCUGAAUGGAAGGGCCAUCGCUCAACGGAUAAAAGGUACUCCGGGGAUAACAGGCUGAUACCGCCCAAGAGUUCAUAUCGACGGCGGUGUUUGGCACCUCGAUGUCGGCUCAUCACAUCCUGGGGCUGAAGUAGGUCCCAAGGGUAUGGCUGUUCGCCAUUUAAAGUGGUACGCGAGCUGGGUUUAGAACGUCGUGAGACAGUUCGGUCCCUAUCUGCCGUGGGCGCUGGAGAAUUGAGGGGGGCUGCUCCUAGUACGAGAGGACCGGAGUGGACGCAUCACUGGUGUUCGGGUUGUCAUGCCAAUGGCAUUGCCCGGUAGCUAAAUGCGGAAGAGAUAAGUGCUGAAAGCAUCUAAGUACGAAACUUGCCCCGAGAUGAGUUCUCCCUGACCCUUUAAGGGUCCUGAAGGAACGUUGAAGACGACGACGUUGAUAGGCCGGGUGUGUAAGCGCAGCGAUGCGUUGAGCUAACCGGUACUAAUGAACCGUGAGGCUUAACCUU
rnacentral:rRNA from 1 species